UCACCCAUAACAUAGCACAACAGGUAACAACAAAAAAUUACUAAGGUACAACUUAUACAUUCAUUCUAGUAAAGUAGCUAAACUGUAAAUACAACAAAUGCAACAAAAUCCAGGCUCUAAAAUUCUUAACUAACAAGCUCAUUUGUAGGUUCCCAUACCUACACCAGUCUCCCCGCCACCAUAAGGUUGGAAGCUUUCCCUGGCACUUGAGUAGUUGAUGUAGUAGAAUUCAGAAAUAAUGGCAGUGAAGAAAACAAAAGCAGCACCAGCAGCAAAAACUCCCUUCCUAACUGUUUCACAUGAUGGGCUUUUGUCCCCAAAGUAGGUCCUGUAC
rnacentral:lncRNA from 1 species